CAAUCUGGAGAGAGGCGCGAGGCGCCCACCGAAGGGGAAACCGGCUCAUGCACGCCGCCGGUCAAGCUCUCAGGUACCCGUACAGAUGG
rnacentral:ncRNA from 2 species